rnacentral:rRNA from 1 species
AGCAGCCGCGGUAAUUCCAGCUCCAAUAGCGUAUAUUAAAGUUGUUGCAGUUAAAAAGCUCGUAGUUGAAUUUCGGGAUCAAUACGUCGGUCGUGCUUAGGUACGUACUGGCGUAAUUGAUUUCUCCCUUCUGACGAACCAUGAUGUCAUUAACUUGGUGUCAUGGGAAAUCAGGACUGUUACUUUGAAAAAUUAGAGUGUUUAAAGCAGGCUCACGCUUGAAUACAUUAGCAUGGAAUAAUGAAAUAGGACGUUCGAUCCUAUUUUGUUGGUUUUUAGGAUCAACGUAAUGAUUAAUAGGGAUAGUUGGGGGCAUUAGUAUUCAAUUGUCAGAGGUGAAAUUCUUGGAUUUAUUGAAGACUAACUACUGCGAAAGCAUUUGCCAAGGAUGUUUUCAUUAAUCAAGAAUGAAAGUUAGGGGAUCGAAGACGAUCAGAUACCGUCGUAGUC